rnacentral:rRNA from 1 species
GACGAAGGAUGCGAGCGUUAUCCGGAUUUACUGGGUUUAAAGGGUGCGUAGGCGGGCGUAUAAGUCAGUGGUUAAAGGUCAUGGCUUAACCAUGGUAGGGCCAUUGAUACUGUAUGUCUGGAGUACAAGAGGCGUAUGCGGAAUAUGGCAUGUAGCGGUGAAAUGCAUAGAUAUGCCAUAGAACACCGAUCGCGAAGGCAGCAUACGAUUUUGUAACUGACGCUGAGGCACGAAAGCGUGGGGAUCAAACAGG